AAAAGGGGCUGAAUGAGCCACCUCUGAGCACAAUACCCUGAGCCACAGGAAAUGGAUGUCUGGUUUCUAUGGAAUGGGAAUCACAGGCAGGCGAGGCCCCAGAAACACUGGCGCGGAAGAUGAAAGAGCUCGUUCUUCGGGAAACUCGGGGAUGCGGGACGAACCUUGGACAGCUCCAAAGGCCAGCUUCAGCCAGCGAGGAGGCGGCUUGACAUGUGUGAAUGCAGGCAAUGGGCCAGGGAAGGAAGGGCACUCAACUGCCUUUGGGGGUGGGGGGGAGCGGUAAGGCUUCAGGCCACCCGCUGGUAUCUCUGGGGUCCCGGAUGCCAGAGGCAGGCAAGACAAACCUUUUUCCAUCCUCGGUUUCCAGCGGCAGAGAGGAAUCAGAAGCCCAAGGCUCGGGGUCUGGAAACUAAAGGAUGAGGAUUCUACCUGUCUUGGGAAUCAGCUUAGGAUGAUGUCGCCCUUCCUGCAUCAGUGGCUGAAUCCAGUUGCCCAGAAGCCCAGCCUGCCCAGGUGGCUUGGAGGAAGGAGAACCUCCCAGGGACACAGAUCCGGAGUUGGAAGGGGCCUACGGGAGCCUUCUGACCCAACUCCUGCAUCGUUCACAAAAGAAGCCCUUCGCGUUGACUUCACGUGCCCGAUUGUCCAGCUAGUAAGCCUCAGGGGCAGUCCUGGAACUCAGCCCCGACUUCCGAGCCAGCCUGGCUCCCCUUGAAUCAUGUUGCCGUUUGGCCUCAGCCCGGAUUGGCUUUUCCUCCCUGAGGAGGGCUCCCUGAGCCCCCCUAGACACCCCUUCGGCAGCCCCAUUUCCCCUGCUUCUCACCUCCAGCCACUGCCUCUUAAGAUCUAUGGGCUGUCUGACCAAUACUUCUGUCUCCUUGAACAGGAUGUGCAUGUGGCAGUCCCUGCCCUGGGGGAACUGGGGGCUACAGAAAGCAGAAGCCUCUGCGGUGAGGGCCCCAUCCAGGCUGGGUGACUUCAGGCAAAGCCUCCGUCCUCUGUGGGCCUCACAUUUCCUCUGUAAAUGAGGGAUGGACUCUGUUCCUGUCCAUCAGAUCAGAGUCCCCUCAGCUGCGGGGCCAAGCCAAAGCCUUGCUCCAGAAGCCCUCUGACUGGCAGGCAUCUCCCAGGCUCCAGUCCCCGAAAGAAGGCCUUCCAGGACUUGGUGUUGCUUAUUGUUUCCUAAUUGUUGGGGGAUUUCUUAGUGCUCCCAUCAGCUAGUGUUUAAAAGGAUUAUUUACUGGGAGUAAUGAAAAUGUUUGAGGUGCUCUCCGAAAACUCUGCUUGCGAAAUAUCAAUAAAAUAAUU
rnacentral:lncRNA from 1 species